ACGCUCGACACCUACAGGAGGCAGCAGUGGGGAAUAUUGCACAAUGGGGGAAACCCUGAUGCAGCGACGCCGCGUGAAGGAAGAAGUAUUUCGGUAUGUAAACUUCUAUCAGCAGGGAAGAAACUGACGGUACCUGACUAAGAAGCACCGGCUAAAUACGUGCCAGCAGCCGCGGUAAUCUGAGCGGCUGGCAAGGC
rnacentral:rRNA from 1 species